rnacentral:tRNA from 1 species
GGGGAGGUACCCAAGCGGUCAACGGGGGCAGACUGUAAAUCUGCUGGCGUAUGCCUUCGGGGGUUCGAAUCCUCCCCUCCCCA